rnacentral:rRNA from 1 species
GACGAACGCUGGCGGCGUGCCUAAUACAUGCAAGUAGAACGCUGAAGGAGGAGCUUGCUCUUCUGGAUGAGUUGCGAACGGGUGAGUAACGCGUAGGUAACCUGCCUGGUAGCGGGGGAUAACUAUUGGAAACGAUAGCUAAUACCGCAUAACAGUAGAUGUUGCAUGACAUUUACUUAAAAGGUGCAAUUGCAUCACUACCAGAUGGACCUGCGUUGUAUUAGCUAGUUGGUGGGGUAACGGCUCACCAAGGCGACGAUACAUAGCCGACCUGAGAGGGUGAUCGGCCACACUGGGACUGAGGCACGGCCCAGACUCCUACGGGAGGCAGCAGUAGGGAAUCUUCGGCAAUGGGCGGAAGUCUGACCGAGCAACGCCGCGUGAGUGAAGAAGGUUUUCGGAUCGUAAAGCUCUGUUGUAAGAGAAGAACGAGUGUGAGAGUGGAAAGUUCACACUGUGACGGUAUCUUACCAGAAAGGGACGGCUAACUACGUG